UACGAAGGGGGCUAGCGUUGCUCGGAAUCACUGGGCGUAAAGCGCACGUAGGCGGAUUCUUAAGUCAGGGGUGAAAUCCUGGAGCUCAACUCCAGAACUGCCUUUGAUACUGGGAGUCUUGAGUUCGGGAGAGGUGAGUGGAACUGCGAGUGUAGAGGUGAAAUUCGUAGAUAUUCGCAAGAACACCAGUGGCGAAGGCGGCUCACUGGCCCGAUACUGACGCUGAGGUGCGAAAGCGUGGGGAGCAAACAGG
rnacentral:rRNA from 1 species